GAAAAGGAGGAAAUAAAUUGAAAAUAUAAACAAACAUUUAUUAACUAAAUACCUAGGAAAAUUAAAUGGAUUUUAAUAGUUUUUUUUAAAUGGAUUAUUCUAUCUAAAAUAAAUUAGAGAAAAAAAUUGAAAAAAAGAAAAGAAAACAGACUUCAUCGUCUAGCUCUCUCGCUCUUCUUCUCCCAAUCUCACUCACAAUCUUACCCUCGCGUCUGAGUUUCAUAUUCAACCAGAACUUAAAGCAAUACACACAAAACCUAACAACAUUGAGAUAACACACGGUUAAUUAGGCAUAAUUAAAACCAAUCCUUCCUUCAACAGUUGUUAAAUUGUAUAUGGAAGCAUCCUGAUGCGUCGAAAGUGUAUUUUACCUGUGAUAUCCCUGGGUCAGAAGACAUCCUUAUUCAAGUAUCCCAAACCUUUUGGAGCAAAGAUAUAUGUUUGAAUAAANAUAUGAGUAUUGAACCCACUCCACUUGAGACUAUGGAAACCACCCCUCUCCACCAGGCCACUUAUGACUAGUUGUUACUUUGAUGUUAGAUUGGAUAAAUAAACUAAAGUGGAUUAAAAUUAGAAUUAAACUAAAAAAAAACUAACAAAAAACUGUUAGACUAACCUAAUUAAACCUAGCCGUUCGGCUGUUGGGUUUACAAUGGGAAAGUGAAUUGAAAAGGAGGAAAUAAAUUGAAAAUAUAAACAAACAUUUAUUAACUAAAUACCUAGGAAAAUUAAAUGGAUUUUAAUAGUUUUUUUAAAAUGGAUUAUUCUAUCUAAAAUAAAUUAGAGAAAAAAAUUGAAAAAAAGAAAACAGAACAGACUUCAUCGUCUAGCUCUCUCGCUCUUCUUCUCCCAAUCUCACUCACAAUCUUACCCUCGCGUCUCUCACAAUCUCGCGAGUUCUCAACCUCACUCACAAAAUCGUUCUCUCCAACUCACGUCUCUCUCAUCAUAAUCCUCCCUCAAACACGCGUUUCUCCUAAUCGCUUCCGAAUCGUACAAAAAAUCAAAGGCUGAAGCAAAAGAGAGCUCACCUCCGGCGGUGACCACGACAACGAUGAAGCUCACAGGUUUGUCCUUGAUUUGGUGAUUAGGGUUUCU
rnacentral:lncRNA from 1 species